rnacentral:rRNA from 1 species
AACGAACGCUGGCGGCAUGCCUAACACAUGCAAGUCGAACGAGACCUUCGGGUCUAGUGGCGCACGGGUGCGUAACGCGUGGGAACCUGCCUUUAGGUUCGGAAUAACUCAGAGAAAUUUGAGCUAAUACCGGAUGAUGUCUUCGGACCAAAGAUUUAUCGCCUUUAGAUGGGCCCGCGUUGGAUUAGCUAGUUGGUGGGGUAAAGGCCUACCAAGGCGACGAUCCAUAGCUGGUCUGAGAGGAUGAUCAGCCACACUGGGACUGAGACACGGCCCAGACUCCUACGGGAGGCAGCAGUGGGGAAUAUUGGACAAUGGGCGAAAGGCUGAUCCAGCAAUGCCGCGUGAGUGAUGAAGGCCUUAGGGUUGUAAAGCUCUUUUACCCGAGAUGAUAAUGACAGUAUCGGGAGAAUAAGCGCCGGCUAACUCCGUG